ensembl:ncRNA B0310.7 ncRNA
UUUGUCAUUUAUCAGUCCCCCUCCCCCCUCCCCCGGUCCCUUGUCUCGGCUUCCGAAACUGACGACACGAUGAGGAGGAGGAGGUGAAGAGGAUCGAUUAGUUAAGAUGAUAGCCCCAAUUACGGUUGUUUAGAGUAA